rnacentral:rRNA from 1 species
CGGGGGAGUCUACCUAGAAGGAGGGGAUAGCUACUGGAAAUCGGGGGUAAUACCGCAUAAUCCGUUGAGGACUAAACUCAAUCGCUAUUAGAUGAGCCUAUGUUAGAUUAGCUAGUUGGUAGGGUAAAGGCCUACCAAGGCAGUGAUCUAUAGCUGGUCUGAGAGGAUGAUCAGCCACACUGGAACUGAGAUACGGUCCAGACUCCUACGGGAGGCAGCAGUGGGGAAUAUUGGACAAUGGGCGCAAGCCUGAUCCAGCUAUGCCGCGUGAGUGAGGAAGGCCUUAGGGUUGUAAAACUCUUUCAGUGGGGAAGAUAAUGACGGUACCCACAGAAGAAGUCCCGGCAAACUCCGUGCCAGCAGCCGCGGUAAUACGGAGGGGGCAAGCGUUGUUCGGAAUUAUUGGGCGUAAAGGGCAUGUAGGCGGUUCGGUAAGUUAAAGGUGAAAUGCCAGGGCUUAACCCUGGAGCUGCUUUUAAUACUGCCAGACUCGAGUCCGGGAGAGGAUAGCGGAAUUCCUAGUG